GACGAACGCUGGCGGCGUGCCUAACACAUGCAAGUCGAACGGAAAGGCCCUGCUUUUGUUGGGUGCUCGUGUGGCGAACGGGUGAGUAACACGUGAGUAAACUGCCCUUGACUUUGGGAUAACUUCAGGAAACUGGGGCUCAUACCGGAUAGGAGCUCCUGCUGCAUGUUGGGGGUUGGAAAGUUUCGGCGGUUGGGGAUGGACUCGCGGCUUAUCAGCUUGUUGGUGGGGUAGUGGCUUACCAAGGCUUUGACGGGUAGCCGGCCUGAGAGGGUGACCGGCCACAAUGGGACUGAGAGACGGCCCAGACUCCUACGGGAGGCAGCAGUGGGGAAUAUUGCACAAUGGGCGGAAGCCUGAGGCAGCGACGCCGCGUGCGGGAUGACGGCCUUCGGGGGGUAAACCGCUUUCGACUGUGACGAAGCGUGAGUGACGGUAAUGGGUAAAGAAGCACCGGCUAACUACGUG
rnacentral:rRNA from 1 species